rnacentral:rRNA from 1 species
GAUGAACGCUAGCGAUAGGCUUAACACAUGCAAGUCGAGGGGCAGCAUGGUCUUAGCUUGCUAAGACUGAUGGCGACCGGCGCACGGGUGCGUAACGCGUAUGCAACUUGCCUCACAGAGGGGGAUAACCCGUCGAAAGACGGACUAAUACCGCGUACACUCCAUCUUGGGCAUCCAAGGUAGAGGAAAUGAAAUUCGCUGUGAGAUAGGCAUGCGUCCCAUUAGCUAGUUGGUGAGGUAACGGCUCACCAAGGCGACGAUGGGUAGGGGAACUGAGAGGUUGAACCCCCACACUGGUACUGAGACACGGACCAGACUCCUACGGGAGGCAGCAGUGAGGAAUAUUGGUCAAUGGGCGAGAGCCUGAACCAGCCAAGUCGCGUGAAGGAUGACUGUCUUAUGGAUUGUAAACUUCUUUUAUACGGGAAGAACAAGAGUCACGUGUGACUCCCUGCAUGUACCGUAUGAAUAAGAAGCGGCUAACUCCGUG